rnacentral:tRNA from 1 species
GCCUCCGUAGCUCAAUGGAUAGAGCACCGGCCUUCUAAUCCGUAGGUUCCCAGUUCGAGUCUGGGCGGGGGCA